GAGCCAAGGAUGUGUUAGACACUGAAGAAUAACAACUCAGCCUUUUCUUCCCUCCCGAAUUCACAAUCCAAAUGGUGAUGGGGCAGGGACGGUCUGUUCUACAAAGAACUCAGAAAAAGGUACACAGGGUCUAAAACUAUAGAAGAAGAAGUCACUAACUCUGCUUUGCGAGGGUCCAGAGAAGGCUUCGUGUGCCGGGAUGUCAAGUGAGACCUGGUAUUAGUUAGGCUCAAAGGACGCUGUGUAUUUCCUGGAUGUGUGGAAAAAGUAACAGGCUGUCUAUGCAGAAAAGUAGGCAGUGACCGGAUCAUGGAUGAGUUUACCAGAUGACAAAGUGUGAAACUUCACCUAUCCUGAUGCUUCAGAGCACAACAAGGAAACAUUCAGGUUUCAGCUGUCAACAUGGCUCUGGCGGCAGAGAAAAGCCUGGGUGGGGAAGGGCAGGGCGGUCCCGAUCGCCAUUGGUGACAAAGAUGUGAUGGAGACAUUGCCAGUGGAAUGACGAAGAAGUCAGAGAAUUCUAGGUGAAAAGCGACGUACCUGAGGACUAAUUCGACGGGGGGCACCUAGGAAGUCUGACAGGCUUUGGCAGAAAUGACAACAUUAACUGAGGGACAGACAUCCGCAGAGGAGGGCACCACGUUCUGGCCAGAAAGCAUCAGUUGGGUCGCUGCUCAGAGUUCACUGACCUCAUCCGCUGAAUAUCAGAGAAGGAAAAAAAGAAUAGUUGAAUCUCCUGACUUGUCUCCAAAUGGCAAAUUUCCACCGUCCAUUACUUUAUGGACUAGCUGUUCGACUCAGUCCUAAAUGAUCUGAUAGACACUGUGCCUUAAAAUUAUUUCUGAUUCAAGCACUCCUGCUGGACAAUCAUGGAUAUUUUUAUUGAUUUUUCUUAAAUAUAAUUGCUCACUAUGAU